AUGAAUAAGAAUAAGCUGCUAUUUAAUGAUGGGCAGUCUGGGUAUCAGUAUUUUAAGACUUUUAUAGUAAUUCUCUCUUAUGCAUUAAUGAAAUAUAUUGACUUUUGUGUUAAUUAUUUUCAGCUCUUGCCUUCCAGAGGAUUUAUUAAACAGUCCAUCCCCCAGCCUGGCAGACCAAGCCUUGAGAUUGUAAGCUUAAAAGUUCCUUCUGCCAAAGUAUUAAAAAUGUGUGCAACUAUAAAAGAGAUAAAAAUGCCUAUUAAUGCUUGUAUCUUCCCUUCAGCUGUAUCCCUUUGGCUUUGGAAAUACAGGACCAAUGGGGCCAAUUGUGGGACCACAGCUUCCAGCUCUUGGGACCCAAACAGAGCCUGAGAAGGAGGAUUAGAGAUGUGAGUAAAACAUUUAUUUUAUAAUAAUUACAAUUAGUGGGAAGUUUAUUCAUUAUUUAGAAGAAUACACUGCAUACUGCAAACAGAUAAAAUAUUUGAAUAGUAAAAUCCCUCUUUAAAUUUAACCUAAACAGUAACUAUUUAAAUUCUUGAUUUAAAUAAUUCACCCCUUUCAGUAUUUUGUAACUAAUGAGCGUCUUUAUUUUUUCUUUUUUAGAAUGAAGACCCAGAAUUGACUACUUUGAUGCUGAAAAAUAUUAACAAAAAAUGUUAUGAUGCUUUCAUUUAUCUUAGUAAAAUUGUGAAAUAAUUGCAGUGCUUCUUUUAUCUAUAGAAUAAUAAAAAAAUGUUGUAAUUUGCAUGUAGUUGUAGUAAUGUACUGUAUCAUUGAUUCCUUAGGUAUGUGAGUGGGCUUCUACAGUAUGUUAUAAUUGAAGAUAAGAUCAAUUGUUUUAUUUUUUAUGACACACAUAUCUGACAUCGCUGAAGUCGCUGGUUUCAUCUAACCUGAUUAAUACGAAUUGAACAAACACUAAUCUGGGGUUAAACUGUUAAUGAAAAUACUGUUUGCAAUUCUAAUCAGAAUAUUUGAAACUAGCAUUAAAUGUAUUAAAUGAAAAGGGCAUUAUCACUAAUCAUUUGUCGCGUUCCAUUUAAUCACUAUGUCAUCAAACUUGUCAAAUUCAAAAUGAAAAUGGUUUACAAAAUUUCAGUAUUGCAGAAACUUUAAAAUGAACCAUGUUUUAUAAUGUUGUUUAAUUUGUGUUAUUAAAUACUUAAGAUUCAUCAAAUACCUGUCUGCUUCAUUAUUUUCACUGAAAUCAUUAGAAUAGAUAUUAUUAGAAUAUUAAUUAGUCAUUUUACCAUGGAGAGCCAUCAGACAUUAAAUUGUUUCUUGUCUAAUAAGAUUUUUGUCUAAGGGAUUAAGUCAUCAGUGAUCUAUGUGGUGUGCGUAGUUACUAUGUAAACUAAUACGUUACCUAUUAAAAAGAUUUUUUCCAAUGCCUUA
rnacentral:lncRNA from 1 species